UCAUGACUUAGGUAAUGCCAUCUUGAUACGAAAAUAGUGUCGCAUGAGUUGUAUAAAACGGAAUAUUAUUGUCUUAAUAUUACAUAGAGAGAUUGUAUUGUUUUCUUUAUUCUAAACAAGGCGGAAACUGACACUGCUGAGAGUGUCAUUCUUCGUGAGAGUUGUGCUCACUGCCUCAUUCAUUCCUGGCAGUCACAUUUUUUCUGAAGGAGGAGCGCUGCUGCUGGUGGCGCUAACAAAGGAUUAUCUGGAUCCGAGCAAUUGUUCAUUGCUCGACUGAGGAGAGAUGGCCGAGAUGUACAUUCGCGUCGCGGAGGAGGAGAACGAGGAGCCGAUGGAGAUCCCGUCGGAGGACGACGGCACGGUACUGCUGUCCACGGUGGCCGCUCAGUUUCCAGGGGCUUGUGGCCUGCGUUACCGCAGCCCGGUGUCUCAGUGCAUGAGGGGAGUUCGCCUUGUAGAUGGAGUCCUGCAUGCCCCCGAGAAUGGCUGGGGAAACCUGGUCUAUGUGGUCAAUUACCCCAAAGAAACGGUUCUGCCAGAUAAUAAGAGGAAGAUGGAUGAGAUCGACGCUUCAUCUGCAACGAAGAUCAAGAGAGGAGAUCAGAAGACUUCAGAUCUGAUUGUGCUGGGUCUGCCGUGGAAGACUACAGAACAAGACUUAAAAGACUAUUUCAGUACGUUCGGGGAAGUCAUCAUGGUACAGGUUAAGCGGGACGUGAAGACGGGAAAUUCAAAAGGAUUUGGGUUUGUGAGGUUUGCAGAGUGGGAGUCUCAGAGUAAGGUGAUGUCACAGCGGCACAUGAUUGAUGGCAGGUGGUGUGACUGCAAACUACCCAACUCAAAGCAAGGCCCAGAUGAGCCAAUGAGGAGCAGGAAAGUGUUUGUGGGCCGUUGCACAGAGGACAUGACCGCUGAUGAGCUCCGUCAGUUCUUCAUGCAGUAUGGGGAGGUCACAGAUGUUUUCAUUCCUAAACCCUUCAGAGCGUUCGCUUUUGUCACCUUUGCAGAUGACCAGGUUGCCGCCUCCCUUUGCGGAGAAGAUCUGAUCAUCAAGGGCGUCAGCGUGCACAUUUCCAAUGCUGAGCCGAAACACAACAACACUAGGCAGAUGAUGGAGCGGGCAGGGCGCUUUGGGAACGGGUUCGGAGGUCAGGGUUUCGGAGGCAGCCGUAGCGGCAUGGGGGGUAGCUCCAGCAGCUUGGGAAAUUUCGGCAAUUUCAACCUCAACCCAGCCAUGAUGGCAGCCGCCCAGGCUGCCCUGCAGAGCAGUUGGGGUAUGAUGGGAAUGUUAGCGCAGCAGAGUCAGUCGGCAACAUCUGGCACGAGCACGAGCGGCACAAGUUCCACUCGGGACCAGGCCCAAACGUACAGCUCGGGCAACAGCAACUACAGCAGCAGCUCGGCCGCUCUCGGCUGGGGCUCCGGCUCUAACUCUAGCGGUAGUGGGUUUAACUCCAGCUUUGGCUCUAGUAUGGAGUCCAAGUCGUCCGGGUGGGGUAUGUAAGCCGCUUUGUGUUUGAAGUGUCGGUAUUUCUAGCGUGUUUGGUAAGUAUUUUCCGAGAGACUUAUCUCGUCACGUGUGUUUGGGAGUGGGGAUGGGUGAAAAGGGAGUCUGGGGACAAAAAAAAAAAAAAAAAGAAUGUUUUGUACACUGAAUGGGAUUUGAAGUGAGAUGUUAACAAGGGUGCUACGUUAAUGUACCAUCUUUGGUGUUAUGUUUUCUUUCGCCCAAUGUUGUAUUGUCUUGGUCGAUGCAAACAAAGCAUUUCAACUGGAUUCUUAUAAUGCAUGUUGUUCAACCUGUGGAAACGCAUGAGAAUUGCAUCAUAUUUUCAGUACAUUUAUCAUUACGUAGGACAAAGUAAAACAGAAACUUGCAUUGGAAAGAAUCUGGUUGAAACCUGAACGUAUUUUAAGUUCAGCUUUAUUUCAGUCCAGUUUUAUGGAAACCCUUUAAAACAAGCCUUCAUCAAAAUCUCUUCUGCAGUUGACAUCUGUGGGGUUUGCCUGGGAAGAGCGCCCUCUAUGGCAGCACAGUGUGUCACCUUCCUCCCCAUGUCUAUAUGCUCUCAUCGCACGGCUCGCUGACACGGGGCCUGGAAUAUGGCUGGCCGCAACUCAACCCCAGGCGGGAAGUCCGUUUGGGGAUGGAGGAAGAUGGAGGAUGCUGUGGUUCUGCAUCUCUGGUAACGGCCACGGACACGGUAGACUCUAGCAAAAUGUGAUAGAUGCUUCAGAAUGAGCGCUUUUCUUUGAACCGUUCAAACCUGUAUUUUAUUAGGCUUGAUCUGGUUUCAAGAAAGCGGCUCGUUGUAUUAAAAUACAGGCAUAGGUUAAAGUACUUUUUUUCAAGGUCCAUGUUUUUUAAAUGUAUCAUUUAAAAAUCUGUAUUGUUUCGUAGAGAUUCAUAUUCUCAACAAAGAUGUUUAUUACAAUAAACACAAAUGAACUCAUGUUUGAGUCAAAAAAUGAUUGGUGUUUAGUAUUGAAUGUUAUUUAUUUACAAAUAUCUUACAUGCACAGCUGUUUUACUACAUGCAAAAACCAAUUAUGUGAAUAAUUAAGAUUUCUACAUUUAUUUUGUUCAGUCUUCAAGCUCAUUCUCCUCCUCAGCUUCCAUGUCUUUGCUCUUCCUCUUGGCAGCAUUUUUCUUCCUCUUCUCCUUCAGUUCUUGGUUGUUCAAAGCCAGUUCUUCACUUUUCUGCUGAAUGUAGUUGUACUGUGAAGGUGUAGGAGCAUACAAUGUUUUUCACUCAUUUGAUAGAACUGUAAAAUCUAAAAGCACUUAAAUGGCAACAUUUCCUUGUAACUUGCAAAUAGUUAAUUAUUAUUUUUUUAUAUGAAAUAUAAUGUAAUUACAUAUGAACUAAAAAGAAUUUUAAAAAAUCAUGUUAAUACAUUUGAGAAGUUAAUAUAAUUUACCUAAACAAUUUAUAGAUUUAAAUAUUAGCAUUUCAUAUUUAGACUUGGUUUGUUUUAUUUAUUUAUUUAUUUGUUUUUUUUUUAACAAAUUUAUAGAAUUACAUGAAUGGUAUAACAGUCAAAAGUUUCUGGAUACUAAGAUUUUUAGUGUUCUUUUAAAUAAGACACUUAUGCUCACCAAGCCUGCAUGUAUUUGAUCCAAAAUACAGCAAAAGCAGUAAUACUGUGAAAUAUUUUUACUAUUUAAAAUAGCUGUUUUCUAUUUUUAGUUAUUUUAAAAUGUAAUUUAUUCCUGUGAUCAAAGCCAGAUUUUCAGCAUCAUUAUUACAGUCUUCAGGUGUCACAUGAUCCUUCAGAAAUCAAUCUAAUAUGCUGAUUUGUUGUUCAAGAAACAUUUUUAUUAUUAUUAUUAUUAUUAAUAUUUAAAACAGUUGAGUAUAUAUAUUUUUAGGAUUCUUUGAAUAGAAAGCAUUUAUCUAAAAUAAAAUAAAAAGCUCAUUAUACAUUAUACCAAAAAUGCUUCAAAAGCUUGGAGUCGAUAUAAUUUUGGGGGAAAUUAAUACUUUUAUUAAUACUAAUAGAAAUUACUACUUUAUUUAGCAAGGAUGCUUUAAAAUUAUCAAAAGUGAUGAUAUAAACAUUUAUAAUGUUACAAAAGAUUUCUAUUUCAGAUAAAUGCUAUUCUGAACUUUCUAUUCAUCAAAGAAACCUGAAAAAAAUUCUACUCUGCUGUUUUUAACAUAAUAAUAAUAAUAAAUGUUUUUUUGAGCAGCAAAGCAGAACAGAAUGAUUUCUAAAGCAUCAUAUGACUUAAGUAAUGAUGCUAAAAUUCAGCUUUAAAAUGACAAGAAUAAAUUACAAUUCAUAUAGAAAUCAGUUAUUUUACAUUGUAAACAUAUUUCAAAAUUCUGUUUUUUGUUCUACUUUGGAUCAAAUAAAUGUAGGCUUGAUGAGCAGAAGAGACUUCCUUAAAAACAUAAAAAAUCUUACUGUCCGAUAACUUUUGACUGGUAAAUAGUGUAUAAAAAUGCUUUAAUUUUUUUUUUUUUUAAUCAUAAUUUUAUAAAAGACCUCUGAAUACAAUCACCUUAACUGUUAAAAUUCCUUCUCUUAUUGUUAGAGGCCUUGCAAAUAAAUUGCAAAAACAUUAAUAUAUGUAUUAUAUAUAUAAAUAUAUAUAAUAAAUACAUGAAUAUGUUUUAUUUUUGAAAUCAUCCUACCAGUGCAGUGGUUCUCCUCGCUGUCAGCUUUACAUCGUCCACUGUAACUGUGUGUCUUUUAGCAUGUCUGCAAACAUUAAGGAUAACCGAAGCAUCUUCAUUACGUGCUUAAUUACUGAGAGUAAACUACGUUUGAGGGUUCACGUUUAAGUUGACUUACCUCGCAAACGCUUCCAAGUCCUUGGCAAAUAUAUCUAGAGGUAAGACACAGAAGGAGCGUGAAUAAAUAUCGUUUAAAUUCACUAAAUAUACAUGUCACAUAAUCAAAUCUUACCGCACUGUCUGAACGCUGUCUCCGCAAUAGCUGCUAUUGUCUGUUUAGUGAUUUGUUUCUCGCAGUCCGCGGCGAUGUUUUGGCACAGACAGCCGACAGUAUAAUGCACAGCCGCUUUAAGUCUCUAAAAGCACAUAAAUACUGGAAAUGUGAGAGAAAAUACCCGAACAGGGUUUUAAAAUGUGUAUAAGAUUAUGACGAAACAUUACGCAUUAGCAUGUCAAUCGGUUUUAAAGUUAUAACCUGUUUUUGUGCCUCGUCCUCAUCCAUUUUCAGUAACGUUAGAUAAAUAAACUGAAGCCCAACUCUGUGCUUUUAACCAUUACAAAAAUUGCGCGAAUUGUGUGUUCUUCACGUUGCAGUGAUGGCGUCACUGUUUAUCAGCGCCUCCUACUGUUGUGGAGCGAAUGUCAGUCACGAUAAAGAAAAUCGAAAUAAAUAUGUUUCUUUUAAGGAUAGUUCUUCAGUAUAUUAUGAUGUCGCAUGGGAAAGUUACAAGUGAUUAUUUCUGGUUGUUGUUUCCCUAAAACUAAAGCAUUCAGUGCUGUGGCAGCCAUUGCCACAUCACGCAACACGACACAACACAUGUACUGGGGCUGGUUAACAUAAUUGCACAACAUUUUAGUCAAGAAUUAACAAAAUGUAUAAAAACUGUGGCAACCGGUCUCAGUCCCCCCUACUUAAAUAUUUGUUUAGAACUUUGAAUCAAAAAGGAAAAGUCACAACAUAAUGAUCUCAAAGAAAUAAUUGCAGUAGCACUUAUAAUAAACGUAUCAAAUAUAAGCCAUUUUCUGUUUUUUUUUUUUUUUUUAUUAUUAAAACAUAACAUUUUUAAAAUAGAAACAAAGUUGUUUGGCAAAUCUCUUUAAACUGCUACAAGUGACGAUGCUCACAAGACAUAUUUUGGAGGCACUCUUGCUUUCCUCUUGAAUAAUGGAGGUUUUCUGUGUUGUUUAAUACGUUUCCCCCACUUUUUUGUAAUGUUAUGUUCACUUGAUUGAGAAUCAGUUGAUGUUGAAACCAUCUGUAUGUCAUUAUUUGUCAAUAAACAUCCAAGAAUUUCAGUUCAACACCAUGCUUCAA